GUAAGCCGCCCGGUCGUCAGAUUCUGGAACUCCGGCGAUGCUCUUUUCAGUCGCACAGAUGCUUGCGGAUGCUGUUGCUGCUGUUGCAUCGCCUGCACUGCUUCGGUGAGGCCCCUGACCUGCUGAACCAGCAGGUCGAACUGCUCCAUGCCGACCGCCGUUGUCGGAGGAGGAAGAGCCUGAAAAACUGGAGACGAGGCCGGAGCUUGCGGAUCUCGUUGAGAUCUGGCCACGGAGGCCGUAGAUCGUCUGGUGGAUGCUUUUCGGAGAGGCAUCAGGUGGGGAUCUGGUAGGAGAAGAGGAAGAAGAUGUCGAAGAAGAUGACCGGAGACAGUCCCGUUGAGCAUUCCUUUA
rnacentral:lncRNA from 1 species